rnacentral:rRNA from 1 species
AGUGAACGCUGGCGGUAUGCCUAACACAUGCAAGUCGAACGGCAGCACCGUAAGAGCUUGCUCUUACGGGUGGCGCGUGGCGGACGGGUGAGGAAUACAUCGUACUCUACUUUUUCGUGGGGGAUAACGUAGGGAAACUUACUCUAAUACCGCAUACGACCUACGGGGGAAAGCAGGGGAUCUUCUGGCCUUGUGCGAUUGAAUGAGCCGCUGUCGGAUUAGCUAGUUGGCGGGUUAAAGGCCCACCAAGGCGACGAUCCGUAGCUGGUGUGAGAGGAUGGUCAGCGACACUGGAGCUGAGCCACGGACCAGACGCCUACGGGAGGCAGCAGUGGGGAAUAUUGGACAAUGGGCGCGAGCCUGAUCCAGCCAUACCGCGUGGGUGAAGAAGGCCUUCGGGUUGUAAAGCCCUUUUGUUGGGAAAGAAAAGCAGCAGGUUAAUACCCCGCUGUACUGACGGUACCCAAAGAAUAAGCACCGGCUAACUUCGUG